UACGAAGGACCCGAGCGUUAUCCGGAUUCAUUGGGUUUAAAGGGUGCGUAGGCGGAAUUGUAAGUCAGUGGUGAAAUCCCUUCGCUUAACGAAGGAACUGCCAUUGAUACUGCAAAUCUUGAGUACAUUUGAUGAGGGCGGAAUGUGUCAUGUAGCGGUGAAAUGCUUAGAUAUGACACAGAACACCGAUUGCGAAGGCAGCUCUCAAAACUGUAACUGACGCUGAGGCACGAAAGCGUGGGUAUCAAACAGG
rnacentral:rRNA from 1 species